AUUGAACGCUGACGGCAGGCCUAACACAUGCAAGUCGAACGGUAGCACAGAGAGCUUGCUCUCGGGUGACGAGUGGCGGACGGGUGAGUAAUGUCUGGGAAACUGCCCGAUGGAGGGGGAUAACUACUGGAAACGGUAGCUAAUACCGCAUAACGUCUUCGGACCAAAGUGGGGGACCUUCGGGCCUCACACCAUCGGAUGUACCCAGAUGGGAUUAGCUAGUAGGUGGGGUAAUGGCUCACCUAGGCGACGAUCCCUAGCUGGUCUGAGAGGAUGACCAGCCACACUGGAACUGAGACACGGUCCAGACUCCUACGGGAGGCAGCAGUGGGGAAUAUUGCACAAUGGGCGCAAGCCUGAUGCAGCCAUGCCGCGUGUAUGAAGAAGGCCUUCGGGUUGUAAAGUACUUUCAGCGGGGAGGAAGGCGUUAAGGUUAAUAACCUUGGCGAUUGACGUUACCCGCAGAAGAAGCACCGGCUAACUCCGUGCCAGCAGCCGCCGCGG
rnacentral:rRNA from 1 species